UGGGGAAUAUUGCGCAAUGGGCGAAAGCCUGACGCAGCGACGCCGCGUGAGGGAUGAAGGUUUUCGGAUCGUAAACCUCUGUCAGAAGGGAAGAAACCGCACUGUGCUAAUCAGCAGUGCCUUGACGGUACCUUCAAAGGAAGCACCGGCUAACUCCGUGCCAGCAGCCGCGGUAAUACGGAGGGUGCAAGCGUUAAUCGGAAUUACUGGGCGUAAAGCGCACGUAGGCUGCUUUGUAAGUCAGGGGUGAAAUCCCACGGCUCAACCGUGGAACUGCCUUUGAUACUGCUUAGCUUGAAUCCGGGAGAGGGUGGCGGAUUUCCAGGUGUAGGAGUGAAAUCCGUAGAUAUCUGGAGGAACAUCAGUGGCGAAGGCGGCCACCUGGACCGGUAUUGACGCUGAGGUGCGAAAGCGUGGGGAGCAAACAGG
rnacentral:rRNA from 1 species